rnacentral:rRNA from 1 species
GACAGCAGCAGCCGCGGUAAUACAGAGGGUGCGAGCGUUAAUCGGAUUUACUGGGCGUAAAGCGUGCGUAGGCGGCUAAUUGAGUCGGAUGUGAAAUCCCCGAGCUUAACUUGGGAAUUGCAUUCGAUACUGGUUAGCUAGAGUGUGGGAGAGGAUGGUAGAAUUCCAGGUGUAGCGGUGAAAUGCGUAGAGAUCUGGAGGAAUACCGAUGGCGAAGGCAGCCAUCUGGCCUAACACUGACGCUGAGGUACGAAAGCAUGGGGAGCAAACAGGAUUAGAUACCCGUGUAGUCCCUGUCUCUUAUAA